UGGGGAAUAUUGCGCAAUGGGGGCAACCCUGACGCAGCAACGCCGCGUGAAUGAUGAAGGCCUUCGGGUCGUAAAGUUCUGUCAAAGGGGACGAAAAAAAUGACGGUACCCUUAGAGGAAGCCCCGGCUAACUACGUG
rnacentral:rRNA from 1 species